UACGUAGGGGGCAAGCGUUGUCCGGAAUCAUUGGGCGUAAAGAGCGUGUAGGCGGUUUCGUCAGUCUGCUGUGAAAGUCCAGGGCUCAACCCUGGAAUGCCGGUGGAUACUGCGGGACUAGAGUCCGGAAGAGGUGAGUGGAAUUCCUGGUGUAGCGGUGAAAUGCACAGAUAUCAGGAGGAACACCAAUUGCGAAGGCAGCUCACUGGGACGGUACUGACGCUGAGACGCGAAAGCGUGGGGAGCAAACAGG
rnacentral:rRNA from 1 species